rnacentral:rRNA from 1 species
GAUGAACGCUGGCGGCGUGCCUAACACAUGCAAGUCGAACGAAGCACCUAACUUUGAUUCCUUCGGGCUGAAGAGUUUUGUGACUGAGUGGCGGACGGGUGAGUAACGCGUGGGUAACCUGCCUCAUACAGGGGGAUAACAGUUAGAAAUGACUGCUAAUACCGCAUAAGCGCACAGCAUCGCAUGGUGCAGUGUGAAAAACUCCGGUGGUAUGAGAUGGACCCGCGUCUGAUUAGCUAGUUGGCGAGGUAACGGCUCACCAAGGCGACGAUCAGUAGCCGGCCUGAGAGGGUGAACGGCCACAUUGGGACUGAGACACGGCCCUU